AACGAACGCUGGCGGCAUGCCUAACACAUGCAAGUCGAACGAGACUUUCGGGUCUAGUGGCGCACGGGUGCGUAACGCGUGGGAACCUGCCCUUAGGUUCGGAAUAACUCCCCGAAAGGGGUGCUAAUACCGGAUAAUGUCUUCGGACCAAAGAUUUAUCGCCUUUGGAUGGGCCCGCGUUGGAUUAGCUAGUUGGUAGGGUAAAAGCCUACCAAGGCGACGAUCCAUAGCUGGUCUGAGAGGAUGAUCAGCCACACUGGGACUGAGACACGGCCCAGACUCCUACGGGAGGCAGCAGUGGGGAAUAUUGGACAAUGGGCGAAAGCCUGAUCCAGCAAUGCCGCGUGAGUGGUGAAGGCCUUAGGGUUGUAAAGCUCUUUUACCCGGGAUGAUAAUGACAGUACCGGGAGAAUAAGCUCCGGCUAACUCCGUG
rnacentral:rRNA from 1 species